GACCCAGUGGCGGAUGGCCCGCAUCUCUGCCUCUUACGUCUUUGUCGAUUAGGAGGGUAAGGAGAAGUCCCCCGUUCGAUUCGGGGCUGGGUCG